rnacentral:rRNA from 1 species
CUACGGGCUGCUGCAGUGAGGAAUAUUGCGCAAUGGGGGAAACCCUGACGCAGCGACGCCGCGUGGAUGAUGAAGGCCUUCGGGUCGUAAAAUCCUGUCAGAAGGAAAGAAGUGUAUGGUAGCUAAUAUCUGCCAUACUUGACGGUACCUUCAAAGGAAGCACCGGCUACCUCCGUGCCAGCAGCCGCGGUAAUACGGAGGGUGCAAGCGUUGUUCGGAAUUACUGGGCAUAAAGCGCGCGUAGGCGGUUUUAUAAGUCAGAUGUGAAAGUCCACGGCUCAACCAUGGAAGUGCAUUUGAAACUGUAAGACUUGAGUAUUGGAGGGGGUAGUGGAAUUCCCGGUGUAGAGGUGAAAUUCGUAGAUAUCGGGAGGAAUACCGGUGGCGAAGGCGACUAUCUGGCCAAAUACUGACGCUGAGGUGCGAAAGCGUGGGGAGCAAACAGGAUUAGAUACCCCAGUAGUC